rnacentral:rRNA from 1 species
CACCGCGGUUAUACGAGAGGCCCAAGCUGAUAGACACCGGCGUAAAGCGUGGUUAAGGUUCCUUCCAAAACUAAAGCCGAACACCUUCAGAACUGUUAUACGCACCCGAAGGUAUGAAGACCAACAACGAAAGUGGCUUUAUAAUUCUGAACCCACGAAAGCUACGACA